AGAAGCUUCUGUGGCUGUUGAGUUACAGGUGUGUCUGCAGGGAGGAGAUUCAUACAUACUUUGGUGGUUAUUGCCAACAAGACCAGCCCCCAUGGCAGGGUUCAUCCGAAGAGGAAGAUGCAAGACACAACAGAGAAGAUAUGCCUGGAACCAUCCAAACAGACGAGGCAAGUGCUGAAGAAAAUGCGGCAGGGAGGACAAGAAAUGAAAGGAGAGCCUGUGCAGAUGGAAGCAUUUCCCGGAGGAAGCUGUGGUUCUGUGCCAGCCUCUGCUGAAGGAAGGGAGGCGAUGCCACGCACAGGCACAGGAG